rnacentral:rRNA from 1 species
AGGACGAACGCUGGCGGCGUGCUUAACACAUGCAAGUCGAACGGAAAGGCCCUUCGGGGUACUCGAGUGGCGAACGGGUGAGUAACACGUGGGCAACCUGCCCCUAGCUCUGGGAUAACACUUGGAAACAGGUGCUAAUACCGGAUAACGACUCGACAAGGCAUCUUGACGAGUCCAAAGUUUUUUCGGCUAGGGAUGGGCCCGCGGCCUAUCAGCUUGUUGGUGGGUAAUGGCCCACAAGGCAACGACGGGUA